AGGAUGAACGCUAGCGGCAGGCCUAACACAUGCAAGUCGAGGGGUAACAUGGUGUGCUUGCACACUGAUGACGACCGGCGCACGGGUGCGCAACGCGUAUAGAACCUACCCUGUACAGGGGGAUAGCCCGGAGAAAUCCGGAUUAAUACCCCGUGGUAACAUGAUAUGGCAUCGUAUUAUAG
rnacentral:rRNA from 1 species